rnacentral:rRNA from 1 species
UACGUAGGGGGCUAGCGUUGUCCGGAAUCAUUGGGCGUAAAGAGCGUGUAGGCGGUCCGGUAAGUCUGCUGUGAAAGUCGGGGGCUCAACCCUCGAAUGCCGGUGGAUACUGUCGGGCUAGAGUGCGGAAGAGGCGAGUGGAAUUCCUGGUGUAGCGGUGAAAUGCGCAGAUAUCAGGAGGAACACCGAUGGCGAAGGCAGUGGUCUGGGCCGGCACUGACGCUGAAUAGCGAAAGCGUGGGUAGCGAACAGG